rnacentral:rRNA from 1 species
UACGAAGGGGGCUAGCGUUGCUCGGAAUCACUGGGCGUAAAGGGUGCGUAGGCGGGUCUUUAAGUCAGGGGUGAAAUCCUGGAGCUCAACUCCAGAACUGCCUUUGAUACUGAAGAUCUUGAGUUCGGGAGAGGUGAGUGGAACUGCGAGUGUAGAGGUGAAAUUCGUAGAUAUUCGCAAGAACACCGGUGGCGAAGGCGGCUCACUGGCCCGAUACUGACGCUGAGACGCGAAAGCGUGGGGAGCGAACAGG